rnacentral:rRNA from 1 species
UACGAAGGGGGCUAGCGUUGCUCGGAAUCACUGGGCGUAAAGCGCACGUAGGCGGCUUCUUAAGUCAGGGGUGAAAUCCUGGAGCUCAACUCCAGAACUGCCUUUGAUACUGGCGAUCUUGAGUCCGGGAGAGGUGAGUGGAACUGCGAGUGUAGAGGUGAAAUUCGUAGAUAUUCGCAAGAACACCAGUGGCGAAGGCGGCUCACUGGCCCGGUACUGACGCUGAGGAGCGAAAGCGUGGGGAGCGAACAGGA